CAUUGGGUGUUGAGAGAUAGAAGUGAUGAGGGGGUUAAGCAUUUAAAACCUCCCUAUUGCCUUUGAGUAUCAGCUCCUAAGAGUCUUAUUGCGGACCAAAACAAAGAAAAAUAAAUCAACCAAUAAACAUGCAGUUUAGUUGUAAUAAAAUGUAAAACACACCACUAUAUAAUGUUGGCUGAUUGUACAGUUUAAGAAUAAUCAAAAAUACAAUCAAGUGUUUUUUCUGUUCUCUACUUGCCUAUUUUGUUUUCUCCUUAAUUCCUCUUUUCUUUCUUGACUCUAGAUUUCUUCUUUCAGGUUUUGCCUUCUUUUGAUAAAGAACCCGUUAGGCGGCCUACCCUAGGAACCCUUGAAUCAAUCCGUUAUGCACACCCCAGAAGAGCUAGAAAAUAAAUUUGAUCAAUCAGAUUAGAACCCUAAGAAAACUAAAUCCUUAAAACCCCAAUCUUAAGACGCCACAAAGGUUGAUCACUUCUUUGAUAAGUUAAGAUAAUAUAUUCUUCCAAGAACAUAAGGAAACAAAACAAAGUUUGCUAAAAAUACCUCAAAAUUAUUAAUGAUAUGUCUAUUUUCGUUUUUCAUAGUUGUAGCCUUUAUAUAGGCAUGUAAUCAUCAUAAUCCUAGGCAUAAAAGUCAAAGUAAAAACCCUAGCUAAUAUAUCAAGACAUGGGCCAACCUACAAGCCCAAAUAAACCCAAGAAGUUAAGUCUUUUACAUGUAUAUUUAGCCUUAACUUAAAACCUAACAACCCAAAACACCUAAUCAUUUUAUUUAAGUCUUUCUUUAGCUUGGGUCAUGCGGCCCGGAAUUAUAUCAUAGACUCCAAAGCUUUAUUCUUCAAGUUCUAAGCCUUGUCCAUUAUCUUGCACAUAAAGAUAAGUGAUUAUCCUUGGUGUAGCAUUGGAACUUCUAGAACAGCCUCUUUGUCAUGCAUCUCCAUGAUUAAGCCUUGUAAAGUCUCUUUCAUUUUCUUUGUCCUUGCUCUAGUCAUUGGACCACUGAUUCCCUGCAAAAGAUCUUGGGAAUAAUUGCUUUGUUGCACUUGAUCAACACCUUGAUCUCCAUCAUCUUUCUUCAUCAUCUCUUCCUCAGUUAGUUCAGUCUACAUCAAUUGGUGUCAGAGCAGUGAUCCUCUAUCAUGGCUGAAGAAAAAGACCAGGAGUUUGAGCAAGAAAUGUUACAGUAUCUGUGAGAAGCAUUGCAAGAAUAGAAGAUGUGUUUUCAUAGGUUGCUAAUAGAGUCCCUUGACGCUUCUCAUAAGUUGAUAAUGAAGUCCUUUGAUGAGAUCAACAACUUGAUUAGAGGUUUGAGUCUACCAUGAAUUGAAGUUUUUUAAUAGAAAUUUAACCUAGUGGAAGCAAACUCAGAAGAAGUUGUUCAAAUUUUUUAACAUAAAAUUGAGCAAACUGAAGCAGAAACUAUUGCAAAAAAUCUAGAAGAUAGGUUUCAACUGCCAGAGAUGAAAACGCAUGUGGAAAUGGUUGCAGCAACUAAUUAUGGUUAAUUCUAGGUUGAAUUGGAGAUAGGUGUAGACUAUGUCUUAGUCCAAGAGAACGAGACUGUGGUGCAUACUAGUGGUGACUCAGUGAUUUGGUGGGAGGCUUUGGGUGACUUGCUUAAAGUAAAUGUAAGAAAAAGGAAGUGAAACUUACUCAAUAGGAACUUACAAAGAUGGCUUGGUGAAUCAUUGUGUCCUCAGCUGAUGUGGUGAAAGAGAACAAGCAUCACAUAGUAGAGAUUGAUAAGUUGAUGAAGGCAGACCCGAGGAUAGUUGGAUUUGAUGAAGAAGAAAAGCAAUUGAGGCAAUGAAUGUUACAUGGGCCCAUUCCCCCACUGAAACUUCCUGAAGGGCAAUAUAUCUUUUGUGAUUUUCGCACUCUUUAGAUUCCAAGAGUAUGGUUGAACCCUCCAGCUUCAAAGGCAUUGAAAAGAAUGCAUAUACUUGUUGUAGAUCCUAGAAUAGUUGCUAUUAUGAACAAGUAUAGUUGGUGAGUAGGAAUAAUGACAAAGCUGCCCCUGUUGGUUAUGUUGGCGUAAGUCCAAAAUGCAUUCUCAGUUUUAACAAGAAUCAUGGAGAGGAAAUAUCUCUACGUCUUUGAACUGAUGAUCUUAAGGCUUUCAGAAAAUACGCGAAUAUUAAGAAAACUCUUUUGCAUGAACUUGCCCACAUGGUAUGCUCUGAACAUGAUGCAAACUUUUAUGCUCUUGAUAAACAAUUGAAUCAAGAAGUUACUUCUUUAGAUUGGACUAAAUCAAGGGGCCAUAGCUUGAGUGGUGUCAGGUAUUUGGACAAACAUGAAGAAAACUUGUUGGCUGAAGAUAUUAGAAAUGUUUCCCAUAAACUCGGGGGUAAUGUUUCAAAAUAAUUGGUGAGUGUCAAUUAGUUAAUGUUUCUGCUAAUAGUUUUGGAGCAUUAGAAGUGUGUGAAGAAUCUGAUCAUAUGGAUUUAGUGGAAAAAGAAAACAAGAUUGAGCCUGAUCUUGAUAAUUCUUUGGAUAGGGUAAUAAAGGUGGAAAGCAUUCUUCAGCCAAGGAAGAGGUUGGGUGAGCUUGAUCCAAAUGUUCAAAGGCUUGGGAGUGAUGAUGUUUGGACAACUAUGGGAAACCACCUUGGAUUCACAUCAAAGAUGGUUGAAGCAACUGCUAGUUAAGGAUGCAACAGAAGCUACCUAGGAAAUUGUGGAAGCUUAUAUUCCACUAUUCUUCCUUGAGGACAAGGAAUUUUAAGGGACGGGCAUUGUUGCGGACCAAAAUAAAGAAAAUAAAUCAACCAAUAAACAAUGCAGUUUGGUUGUAAUAAAAUGUAAAACACUCCACUAGAUAAUGUUGGCUGAUUGUACAGAUUAAGAAUAAUCGAAAAUACAAUCAAGUGUGUUCUUUGUUCUCUGCU